rnacentral:lncRNA from 1 species
ACAAUGUUAUGCUUCACCAUUUAAGACAUUUAAUUUCAAUAUGGGUUGAAUACAUAUUAGUAUAGAUUUUUAUUGUGAGUUUCUUGAAAGAAGGAAAUGAUCAAUAUUUCAUAGACCAACCCAGGACUCAAACUCAGAAUUUCAUGAUAGUUACACUGAACCAAUAAAGCAGUUAGAGAGAGAGAGAGAGAUAAAUAAGAGUUUAUUAUGUAUUAAAAUUAAAAUAUAUACCUAAUGCUUUCAGCAAUCCUGCUUCUUCACAUGAAUUUUACCCGCAUGACGACUUUUAAUAUAAAAAAAUAUUUACAAUGUCUCAAAAAGCAAUCAAAGCUUUGAAAAAUAAACAAUGUUCGCAGAAGUUCAAUACCAACAAACUCACAAAAAAUGAGCCCAAAUUUAGCAUUACUUGCAAGCCAGACUAAGAAAUUUCAAGAAGAUAAUUUAAAAGAAGACAAUAGAAUAAAAUAAUAUUAACACACAAUGCUUAGCAAAUAUAGCAUUAACAGAUGAAAACCAGGCAAUAGGUGUAGCAAAAUAGAAGAUGAAGGUCUAGCUGUGCCAGUGCUGAGCCACGCAGUUGCUACUGGCAUGUUUGCAAAAUAGCACAAGGUGUGGCAAAAUAGAAGAUGAAGGUCUAGCUGUUCCAGUG